GUUGUAUAGUCAAGUAAUUAAGUGCAUGUGGUGGAUGCCUUGGCAGUCAGAGGCGAUGAAAGACGUGAUAGCCUGCGAAAAGCUCCGGGGAGGCGGCAAAUAUCCUUUGAUCCGGAGAUGUCUGAAUGGGGGAACCCACCUACUUUAAGGUAGGUAUUGCAACAUGAAUACAUAGUGUUGCAAGGCGAACGAGGGGAAGUGAAACAUCUCAGUACCCUUAGGAAAAGAAAUCAAUUGAGAUUCCCUCAGUAGCGGCGAGCGAACGGGGAUCAGCCCAUUAAGUUAUGUGUGUUUUAGUGGAACGCUCUGGGAAGUGCGAACGUAGAGGGUGAUAUUCCCGUACACGAAAGGGCACACAUAAUGAUGACGAGUAGGGCGAGGCACGUGAAACCUUGUCUGAAUAUGGGGGGACCAUCCUCCAAGGCUAAAUACUCCUGACUGACCGAUAGUGAACCAGUACCGUGAGGGAAAGGCGAAAAGAACCCCUGUGAGGGGAGUGAAAUAGAUCCUGAAACCGCAUGCAUACAAGCAGUGGGAGCACCUUCGUGGUGUGACUGCGUACCUUUUGUAUAAUGGGUCAGCGACUUAUAUUCAGUAGCAAGGUUAACCGUAUAGGGGAGCCGUAGAGAAAUCGAGUCUUAAUAGGGCGUUUAGUUGCUGGGUAUAGACCCGAAACCAGGCGAUCUAUCCAUGAGCAGGUUGAAGGUUGGGUAACACUAACUGGAGGACCGAACCCACUGUCGUUGAAAAGCCAGGGGAUGACUUGUGGAUAGGGGUGAAAGGCUAAUCAAGCCUGGUGAUAGCUGGUUCUCCCCGAAAGCUAUUUAGGUAGCGCCUCGGACGAAUACCAUAGGGGGUAGAGCACUGUUUCGGCUAGGGGGUCAUCCCGACUUACCAAACCGAUGCAAACUCCGAAUACCUAUGAGUACUAUCCGGGAGACAGACUGCGGGUGCUAACGUCCGUAGUCAAGAGGAAAACAAUCCAGACCGCCAGCUAAGGCCCCAAAAUCAUAGUUAAGUGGGAAACGAUGUGGGAAGGCAUAGACAGCUAGGAGGUUGGCUUAGAAGCAGCCACCCUUUAAAGAAAGCGUAAUAGCUCACUAGUCGAGUCGGCCUGCGCGGAAGAUGUAACGGGGCUAAAACUAUGUGCCGAAGCUGCGGAUNNNNNNNNNNNNNNNNNNNNNNNNNNNNNNNNNNNNNNNNNNNNNNNNNNNNNNNNNNNNNNNNNNNNNNNNNNNNNNAUGCUGGAGGUAUCAGAAGUGCGAAUGCUGACGUGAGUAACGACAAAACGGGUGAAAAACCCGUUCGCCGAAAGACCAAGGGUUCCAGUCCAACGUUAAUCGGGGCUGGGUGAGUCGACCCCUAAGGCGAGGCCGAAAGGCGUAGUCGAUGGGAAAAUGGUUAAUAUUCCAUUACUUCUGUGUAAUGCGAUGAGAGGACGGAGAAGGCUAAAUCAGCCUGGCGUUGGUUGUCCAGGUGAAAGGAUGUAGGCAUGUAUCUUAGGCAAAUCCGGGGUACUCUAUGCUGAGAUCUGAUAGCAAGCUGUACUUGUACAGCGAAGUGGUUGAUGCCAUGCUUCCAGGAAAAGUCUCUAAGCUUCAGUUACACAGGAAUCGUACCCGAAACCGACACAGGUGGUCAGGUCGAGUAGACCAAGGCGCUUGAGAGAACUCUGCUGAAGGAACUAGGCAAAAUGGUACCGUAACUUCGGGAGAAGGUACGCUGUUGUUGGUGAUGGAACUCGCUUCCUGAGCUGACGACAGCCGCAGAAACCAGGCCGCUGCAACUGUUUAUUAAAAACAUAGCACUCUGCAAACACGAAAGUGGACGUAUAGGGUGUGAUGCCUGCCCGGUGCUGGAAGGUUAAUUGAUGGGGUUAGCGUAAGCGAAGCUCUUGAUCGAAGCCCCAGUAAACGGCGGCCGUAACUAUAACGGUCCUAAGGUAGCGAAAUUCCUUGUCGGGUAAGUUCCGACCUGCACGAAUGGCAUAAUGAUGGCGGCGCUGUCUCCAGCAGAGGCUCAGUGAAAUCGAAAUCGCUGUGAAGAUGCAGUGUACCCGCGGCUAGACGGAAAGACCCCGUGAACCUUUACUGCAGCUUGACACUGAACUUUGACCUUACUUGUGUAGGAUAGGUGGGAGGCUUUGAAGCUGGAACGCUAGUUCCAGUGGAGCCGUCCUUGAAAUACCACCCUGGUAAUGUUGAGGUUCUAACUCUGUCCCGUGAUCCGGGACGAGGACCGUGUCUGGUGGGUAGUUUGACUGGGGCGGUCUCCUCCUAAAGAGUAACGGAGGAGUACGAAGGUGCGCUCAGCGUGGUCGGAAAUCACGCGUAGAGUAUAAAGGCAAAAGCGCGCUUAACUGCGAGACCCACAAGUCGAGCAGGUACGAAAGUAGGUCUUAGUGAUCCGGUGGUUCUGUAUGGAAGGGCCAUCGCUCAACGGAUAAAAGGUACUCUGGGGAUAACAGGCUGAUACCGCCCAAGAGUUCAUAUCGACGGCGGUGUUUGGCACCUCGAUGUCGGCUCAUCUCAUCCUGGGGCUGAAGCAGGUCCCAAGGGUAUGGCUGUUCGCCAUUUAAAGAGGUACGCGAGCUGGGUUUAGAACGUCGUGAGACAGUUCGGUCCCUAUCUACCGUGGGCGCUGGAAAUUUGAGAGGAUCUGCUCCUAGUACGAGAGGACCAGAGUGGACGAACCUCUGGUGUACCGGUUGUGACGCCAGUCGCAUCGCCGGGUAGCUAUGUUCGGAAGGGAUAACCGCUGAAAGCAUCUAAGCGGGAAGCCUACCUCAAGAUAAGAUUUCCCUAGGACUUUAUGUCCUCUAAAGAGCCGUUCGAGACUAGGACGUUGAUAGGUUGGAUGUGGAAGCAUAGUGAUAUGUGAAGCUGACCAAUACUAAUUGCUCGUGAGGCUUGACUAUACAACACCCAAGCAGUUG
rnacentral:rRNA from 1 species